rnacentral:rRNA from 1 species
AUUGAACGCUGGCGGCAGGCUUAACACAUGCAAGUCGAGCGGAGUGAUGGUGCUUGCACUAUCACUUAGCGGCGGACGGGUGAGUAAUGCUUAGGAAUCUGCCUAUUAGUGGGGGACAACAUCUCGAAAGGGAUGCUAAUACCGCAUACGUCCUACGGGAGAAAGCAGGGGAUCACUUGUGACCUUGCGCUAAUAGAUGAGCCUAAGUCGGAUUAGCUAGUUGGUGGGGUAAAGGCCUACCAAGGCGACGAUCUGUAGCGGGUCUGAGAGGAUGAUCCGCCACACUGGGACUGAGACACGGCCCAGACUCCUACGGGAGGCAGCAGUGGGGAAUAUUGGACAGUGGGGGGAACCCUGAUCCAGCCAUGCCGCGUGUGUGAAGAAGGCCUUAUGGUUGUAAAGCACUUUAAGCGAGGAGGAGGCUCUUUUGGUUAAUACCCAAGAUGAGUGGACGUUACUCGCAGAAUAAGCACCGGCUAACUCUGUGCCAGCAGCCGCCGUAA